UGUCUUGUGUUUUUACUGUUGUGAGUGAGAUCUUCAGAGCACGCCGAAGCAGCGGGUGGACGGAAACCUAACGGUGAUAGCAUAAGUCCACUGUCUGUUGAAGUAGGCUGUUCAAGGGUCUAAAUAAGUUCUGGUGUCGUGACCGGGUCCUUAUGUGAACAGUCACUUGGGCUGAGAACUCGGAACAUAGCGUGCCAUACCUCUUAGCUGGCCAGAUCGUGUGAAUGAGUACACAGUAUGUGUGAUUCAGAGACAACAGAACCAGGGACAUUAGGAGCCCAUAUAAAGGAAAGGAGGGACAGUAUAAAACGAUCCUUCCUGGAGAAGAGAACAAAAAAAAAGAGGCUAAAGAUUUUGAAAAAUGGUGCAGAGGCUUACGGGGCCCCCCCACCGACAACCACUCUAUACGGGAACUCUCUAAAAUAUAAAAAACAAACAAAAACAAUUGAUUCAACUGAUGGCACAAUUUGAAAAAUCGGGAAGGUUAUCAAAGGGAAAGAAAGAAAAAGAAAAGGUAAAGAUUGAAGAUCAUUUAAAAUUUACAAGCAGGCAUUUUAGCAGUUGCUUUUAUAGCCACAAUAACAUUCCAAUGCAAGCAGUCCAGACCGGAGAAAAGCAGGAAGAUAAGGACGGAAUAACAAGGACAACCACCGCGACAACUGGUGAGAUACCACCUCCAUACACAAAACAGAAAGCGCAGGCUAAUACACCAGCAUCAGAACACCUAUAUACGGAGGCUAGGCCAAUGAUGGAGAGAGCACAACAAGAGAAUUCUAAUGAACAGUAUAGCCCAAAUAGCCUGUUCGUACAGAUGCCACAAGUAGUUGUAACCAAAGGCAUGCUUACGUGUGAAUUAAAACCAACACCAGGGGAGGCUGUUAAGCAAGCAUAUAAAGAAGAGGGAAGAGAGGAGCAGAUAAAAGAAAUGAAAAGUACAUUGAAUGAAUUAAAUGAGGAAAUGGCCAAAUUAAGCGUCAAAGCCAGUGAAGUGGAGCCUACAGUCUACAGCUUGCUGCGGCUCGGGCGUGGCCCCUUAUUGCAAGAAAAUGCCAUAAAAAAUUAAAGAUAUGGAACCUGCAUUAAAAAUAUAAGAGGACAACAUAAACUUAAAUAGGCUUAAAUAUGCAAUAAAAAAGAAAAUAAAUAGCCUAAAAAUAUAAAAACAAACAGAUUUUGAAAAAUGGUGCAGAGGCUUACGGGCCCCCCCACCGACAACCACUCUAUACGGGAACUCUCUAAGAUAUAAAAAACAAACAAAAACAAUUGAUUCAACUGAUGGCACAAUUUGAAAAAUCGGGAAGGUUAUCAAAGGGAAAGAAAGAAAAAGAAAAGGUAAAGAUUGAAGAUCAUUUAAAAUUUACAAGCAGGCAUUUUAGCAGUUGCUUUUAUAGCCACAAUAACAUUCCAAUGCAAGCAGUCCAGACCGGAGAAAAGCAGGAAGAUAAGGACGGAAUAACAAGGACAACCACCGCGACAACUGGUGAGAUACCACCCCCGAUAAUUCACGAAGAGUUCGCGGCUGAGUUCUGUUCAACUGAACUGAGAAAAGAACGAAACAGUUCAUCGUGAUUCGAUACAGUUCGUUCACUCAAAAGAUUCUUUCGAACGAAUCAUUCGUGAACGACCCAACACUAGGAGCUACCACAUCGGAGAAAUUUCGACAGCCACACAUGCCAAGAAAACGGCGCAGCGCUUUCUUGGACUGGGGAACCGGGAUUGACAAUGUGUGGAGAUGGUUAGACCAAGUGGAGGAGUAGGCAACUACAUCAUCUAAAUAGUCUUUUUGACACCAGACAACACGGUAUGCAUUAGGCGUUGGAAAGUAGCGGGAGCAUUUCGCAGCCCGAAUGGCAUAACGGUGUACUCUCCAUCCCAGAGAGAGGAAAAGAGUCGGGUUUGGUGACUGAUUUUACUUUUCUGUAAUCAUUACAGAAACGAGGGGUGUUGUCGGGUUUCGGAACCAAUACACAGGGCGAACUUUACGCACUCGAGAUGGGAACAGCUAAGCCAUGGUCAACCAGAUAACUCACCUCCUGCUGCAUUAUGGACCUUUUUGUCGGAUUUACUCUGUAUGCAUGUUGCUUGGUUGAUUUGUGGCCCUCCACAUCACUGUCAUGAUACAGAACAGACGUUUGACUAGGAUGGUCAGAGAAAAGCAACAAGUUAUCCUGAAUCAACUCUAUAAUAUCCGUACGGGCCGGGUUUGACAGAUGGAACAAAGUCACUCACUUCCUCUGAAUUCCUCAAGCGAGCGGCCGGCAUCAACCCAAUUUUCUCUGCCAAGUCAUCAUCAGCAAGAUUGUACUGAGGAGGAGCAGCGGACACGGACAUAACAGGCGCAGCAGAAGAGGCGAGUGAUCACUCACUCUGGAAAAGUAACAUUAUAACAUAUAGCAUACCCUGGACUUAUUGAGAUACAGAAAAUAAUUCAUGCUACAUGGUCCCUCCUUGGCCCACCAAAGCUUUCCAAAGAGGACAAAGUUUGCAAAAUUCCAAUGCGUUAUAUCCAGUGAUAAUAACGGCGUUAAAAUAAACGGCGUUACCAACGGUGUUUUUCAGUAACGGGGUAAUCUAAUUAAUUACUGUUUCCACCUUUAUGACGCCGUUUACGUAACUGAAAAUGAAAUGGGGCACGUUACUUGAUUCUCAGCCACGGGAGCUGCGAAGCGGUUUUUCUUUCUUUUUUUCUUUUCUUUUUUUGUCGAGGAGAGGAGCGAAACAACCGCGCAGGGGAUAUUGAUUCGCUAAGGUGGAGUAGGCUUUCACGAUAAGGCAAUCUCAGGCAGUGUUUAGUUUAUACACAAAUCACACCCAACUAGCCGAGGUGAGUCGACCCGGGGUUUUCCCACUUGUUUCUCACAAACAAGUUUUGAUCUUCUCCCAUAAAGACUGAUCUCUGAAGGGCAGAGAUUGUUGUUCCUUUUUUUUUAUAUCAGACAAAUCGCAUGUGUGGUUACACGAUCGUUAAUGGAAGCGCAUAGGUGAGCGGCGACUGUGCGACUGUGUUUAUAUCCAGCUCGUAUAGCGAGCUCCCACACUUUAACGAUCAUGAAAAGGGGGGAUUUCGCGGCAGAUAUCGGGCUCUGUGCAAUACAACGUGAUUUAUUCUAAUAUCAGCAGCCUUUUGAAAGAGCUGGGGUUUGAGCGAUCCGAUCUUCAGGUCAUCAACAAACUGCAACCUUAUCUGCAAUGUACGCAAUGACGUAUGAGGAAGGAAAAAACAGGCACGCAGCUCUCACAGCGGGAGGACUUUUGCCGAUGUGAAAGCGGUAUGUCUACCAGUAGGGGUCUGAGCUGCAAUAAAUAUUAAAAGUUCUGUGUAACUACGUGUCUAUACAAUUCUACUCUGUGUAACUGGCUUGUGAAACCUAUUUGCCAUUACAAUCCAGUCACAAUUCAGAUUAUGCUAAAAGACACCUGUUUUCCUCCGUUUUCUCUGUAACGAUUUAUUUGAAUUUCACAUGCUGCGUAGUAGCUCUUCAAGUUAAGAUAGAUUAAAUACACCUGUAAUAAAGAAGAAGAUGGAUUUCAUUGAAUCAUUGGGCAAACCUAAGAGGACAUGAGGUGUAACAGACACACUACAGAUGCCGCUUGGUAAACACAUUCAAAAAGGUGUUGGCAAACUAAAACCUAACCCAGCAACUAAUUCAAUCUAUUAUGUGAGGGAAAUCAUCCAGGUCAGAAUAUACUCAAACCAUGUCAAGAGAAAGGACAGAGAAAGAGUUUUAGAUGGACAACUGAAAACCAGGUUAAGGAAGUCAGGAUAGCUGGUAAAACUAUAAGCCAAACUGUUCCUUUCUCUUUACUACCACCAUGGACAGUGGGAGAAGUGAAUGUUGAUUUGAAACUGUUAAAGUAUCAAAAGGGGAAAUUUUUAAGUGUAGAUAAAGAAGGGAAUGAACUGUCAGAUAAAUAUGCUGAGAAAUGGCAGGAACAAUGGAAUAGAGGGACCAAAGCAUAAACCCAGUAGAGCUCUGAGAUCUACUGACUCAGGUCAGGUAGUGGAGCACAGAGUUCAAACCAGACAUGGUGAAGCAGCAUGAGGUGUUAUGCUGCACACAACUGGAACAAACUACCAGGAGAACUCAAAUCAGCCCAAACUGUAAGCACCUUUAAAUCCAGGUUAAAAACAUUUCUAUUUUCAUGUGCUUAUGGCUGAGCUGUUUUAAAUAAUUUUAAAUCGUAAUCUUGGAACUGCACUGAAAUCCUCUUAAUUGCUUUAAGGUAUGUAUGUAUUUGUGUAUAUGUGUGUGUGUGUCUGUGUGUGUGUGUGUGUGUGUGUAUUUAUAUAUAUACACAUUUUUAUUUCUUGUACUUUUUUCUUUUUCUUUGCUAAAUUGUUCUGUUUUAUGCUGCUCUUUUUAAAUGCUUUGUCUUUAUGUAAAGCACAUUGAGUUUUUCUCAAUUGCUAAAACACUAAAAGAGACUGGCUGAACAAUUUACAGUGCAGUCUGUUGUCAAUACCUUAAACCAUUUCACAUGGUAAAACACAAUCUGCAGAUCUCACUUAGACUUUUCAGCAGAACUCUAAACACAUUCUCAUUCUCAAAACACAUUCUUCACUCUAAUGCACAUGUCAUCCAUACUGGUAAACACAAGUGGCAACAAUCAAAUGCAAAUAGAGAACACAUGGCAUUGAUUAAACACAACCACUCAAAAUUGAUUUCACUUGUUUCAAAUCAUGUGACACAACCAAUAUAAGCCAGGUCAGAGAGCAAACAGGUUGUUAAAGGUGGGGAGAAGAAAGUCUUAGAAUGGACAGAAGAAACAAUGUGAGAGGAUGAGGAUGAGUGCGUAUGCCAGGUGGGUGACAAGGAGAAAGAGGAGGACGAAGAGAAAGGGGAAAACAAAGAGUGGAAAUAUCCGAUGAAAUUUGAGCAACAAUAAUUGAUCAUGUUCUUGUCCAUGGACUGACAAUGAAGCAAGCAGGACUUAGAUUGCAACCUAAUUUGAGCCAAUUCUCUGUGCCCAUCAUGGUAAGGACAUUCAGAGAUGAGAACAGAGAUGAGUAUACUACUGUAUUUUUGUAAUUGCAAAUUUACUGUACUACACUAUAUAAAGCUGUUUCAAUAGACCUUUGUAAAGUUCAUCACUGUAUGUAUUGCACUGCGUGGAUAUGUUUUGUAACUGCACAUAAACUGUUUUUAGAAUUGCAAGGCUGCCAUAUGCAGGUGGAAGGACAGCUAUAUUCACUUGCGAGCAAGACAACAUAGUUGGCAUGGUCCUUCAAGAUAAUCUAAUAAGACUCAGAAAUCCAGGAACAAGUGAUACGAGACAACACACGCUUCCAGGGAAUCGACAGUGUGAGCAUUUCCACAAUUGACCAUACCCUCCAACGUAACAGGAUGCGGAUGAAACAAGUAUACAGUACCUUUUGAACGCAACUCACCAGUGGUGAAAGAACGGCAAGCUUAGUAUGAGCAAAUAAUAUUUGACUUGGAAUCUUUGUCGAUGAAGCAGGCUUCAGUCUAACAAAGGGGAGAAGGAGAGGCUGAAACAUGAUUGGACACUGGGCCAUUGUUGAUGUCCCUGGUCAAUGAGGUUGCAAUGUCACAAUCUGUGCUGCUAUCAGCAACCAUGGUGUUCUUCAUCACCACGUUACACUCGGGUCAUAUAACACCCAGCACCUUCUUAGAUUUCUGCUCAGGGUGUACAGGGAAUUGGAUGCUCAUGCAAUCCCACAUAAGUUCAUCUUCAUAGAUGAGGCUGGCUUCAACCUAGCAAAGACCAGAAGAAGGGGAAGAAACAUCAUUGGCCACAGAGCCAUUAUAGAUGUUCCUGGCCAAUGGGGUGGGAACAUCACAAUGUGUGCUGCCAUCUCCAAUACGCAUCUCCACCUUCAUGCCAACCUUGAACCAUACAACACAAUCUAUAUUCUCACAUUUCUGGACACACUCCGCAACAUUCUCAUACAACCAGAGCAUAAGAAUGAUGCAGACCUUCAAAGAAACCGGUGCGUUGUAGUAUGGGACAACGUGAGCUUUCAUCAUGCAGCCCCAUUCCAAAAUCGGUUUGCUGACCACCCACCGUUUCUUGUGCUAUACCUCUCACCAUACUCACCAUUUCUGAACUCCAUAGAAGAGUUCUUUUCAGCAUGGCGGUGGAAGGACCGGCAGCCCUAUGUGCGCAUUCCUUUAGUGAAGGCUAUGAAAUUGAUGUGGGUGCAAUUCAGGGAUGGAUAAGGUACUCAAGGCACUUCUUCCCUCGAUGUCUGGCAAGGGAAGAUAUUGCCUGUGAUGUGGAUGAGGCGUUGUGGCCAGAUCCAGCUGUGUGGCAAGAUGCUGCCUAAUUAUUUUUGUUGCCUAUAUUUUUUUUCUGAAACUAUUUUUCAGGUUACUGUUUUUGUGAUCAUAUUUUUGUUAAUUCCAAUAUAAAUAUCUGCUGUGCAUAUGUUACACUGUCCUGUUUGGGACGGGAAAAAUAAAAUGUUUCAUCUGCAUGUGCAUCUGCAAAUAUUUCUGUGCAUGUGAACAAUCUGAAGCAUUUUCUACAAGUUGAACUAUUUUAAUAUUAUGGCAAGCGUACUAAAGAUGAGAGUGCUUUACAUUAUGCUCAACAGUAUAUACUGUAGUUGCAUAGACAAAUCUGGUAAUAUGCAUGAUGUGUGUGCCAUUUGGUGCAAAAGUUUGAUUUUGACAAUGCUAUAUGCAGUUUUGGAUGGAAAGUAUGUGAUAGACAACACUACACCUGAGUAAAUCUGCUGCAAGCCAUGGCUUAAGCCUGUGGUGAUAUAUGUGAGGAACCAUGUCAGGGCUGGAUACGGCACACAAGAAACUUCUUCCCUCUUUGCCUCAGGAGGGAAAAUAUUGUUUGUGAUGUUGACGAAGUGCUCUGGCCUGACCCAGCCCAAAGACAGGAAGAGGCACAUUGAUCAAUACAAUACACUGUACAAUAAACAAAUUGUAGGGCACUGAGUAUUGUGCUCUCCAUUUGUUUACAGUACUGACUGCUCAAUAUAUUUUGACUGGUUGCAGGUUCAUAUCCACAAAGAACAAGAAUUACAGUAUUACAGAUACAAAGGACAAGUUUGUGAGAUGCAGGGUACAGUACUGUAAAAACAGGGGUACAAGCAAGCAGGCAGAGUAGUAAUUUCUGAUCAAUUUUGAGCUACUAUGAUGGUACAUGUUUUCCGUUCAUUAAAAGUCAAUGACGGAAAAAAUAUGAAAAUUGUUUUGAAAUUAAAAAUUUACUUCUCCCUGAGAACUAUAUGUUUUGAACAAUGUGUAUUUUUGGUGUGUUGUUUACUGGCUGCUUGAUAGUGUAUAUAAUUUUGAUCACUUUGUUUAUGAUUUGAGAGCAAUGUUUGGUUUUGAGCACAGUAACGCCUUCUUUAAAUAAUUUAAAUAAAGUAAAUUUUUUCAGAUUUUUCAGGAAACACAAAAAACUGAACCAUUUGUUGAAUAUAUGAUAUUUACUCACAAUUUUAAUCAAAACAGUUAUAACAACAGAUGCCUAUUGACAUACAAACAACUAGGUCAGUCAAACAUGCAACAUGGGAGAAUUAAAUGACUUAGGCAAAUUUUCGAACAUGCCUUUGUGACUUAGGCAAUUCUAAACUUUCUACUCUGUCACGGAAUAAA